rnacentral:rRNA from 1 species
CCCUUAGAUGUCCUGGGCCGCACGCGCGUUACACUGAUGCAUUCAACGAGCUUAUAACCUUGGCCGAGAGGCCUGGGCAAUCUUGUUAACGUGCAUCGUGAUAGGGAUAGAUUAUUGAAAUUAUUAAUCUUGAACGAGGAAUUCCUAGUAAACGCAGAUCAUCAAUCUGCAUUGAUUACGUCCCUGCCCUUUGUACACACCGCCCGUCGCACCUACCGAUUGGAUGGUUUAGUGAGAUCCUUGGAUCGGCCCUGUCGCGGCUGGCAACGGCCGCGUCGGCGCGUCGAGAAGACGAUCAAACUUGAUCAUUUAGAGGAAGUAAAAGUCGUAACA